UUCGUAGGUGGCCAACUAAGUCAGACGUGAAAUCCCUCAGCUUAACUGGGGAACUGCGUCUGAGACUGGAGGGCUUGAGUGCAGGAGAGGAACGCGGAAUUCCAGGUGUAGCGGUGAAAUGCGUAGAUAUCUGGAGGAACACCGGUGGCGAAGGCGGCAUCCUGGACCGACACUGACGCUGAGUGAGCGAAAGCCAGGGGAGCAAACG
rnacentral:rRNA from 1 species